UGCCUACGGGAGGCAGCAGUGAGGAAUAUUGGUCAAUGGGCGCAAGCCUGAACCAGCCAAGUCGCGUGAGGGAUGACGGUCCUAUGGAUUGUAAACCUCUUUUGUGAGAGAAGAUAAUGACGGUAUCUCACGAAUAAGCACCGGCUAACUCCGUGCCAGCAGCCGCGGUAAUACGGAGGGUGCAAGCGUUACUCGGAAUCACUGGGCGUAAAGAGUGCGCAGGCGGGCUUGUAAGUCAGAUGUGAAAUCCUGUAGCUUAACUACAGACCUGCAUUUGAAACUAUGAGUCUAGAGUGUGGGAGAGG
rnacentral:rRNA from 1 species